UAUCUUCGGGGCGGGGUGCAAUUCCCCACCGGCGGUGAAAGUCCGCGAGCGAAAGCUGAACCGGUGCAAUUCCGGUACCGACGGUACAGUCCGGAUGAAAGAAGA
rnacentral:ncRNA from 1 species